UGGGGAAUAUUGGACAAUGGGGGCAACCCUGAUCCAGCCAUGCCGCGUGAGUGAUGAAGGCCUUCGGGUUGUAAAGCUCUUUUGGCGGGGACGAUGAUGACGGUACCCGCAGAAUAAGCCCCGGCUAACUUCGUGCCAGCAGCCGCGGUAAGACGAAGGGGGCUAGCGUUGUUCGGAAUUACUGGGCGUAAAGCGAGUGUAGGCGGUUGCCGUAGUCAGGUGUGAAAGCCUUGAGCUCAACUCAAGAAAUGCACUUGAUACUGGGUGACUAGAGGACCGGAGAGGAUAGUGGAAUUCCCAGUGUAGUGGUGAAAUACGUAGAGAUUGGGAAGAACACCAGUGGCGAAGGCGGCUAUCUGGACGGUUACUGACGCUAAGACUCGAAAGCGUGGGGAGCAAACAGGAUUAGAUACCCUGGUAGUCCACGCCGUAAACGAUGGGUGCUAGACGUUGGCGAGCUUGCUCGUCAGUGUCGCAGCUAACGCGUUAAGCACCCCGCCUGGGGAGUACGGCCGCAAGGUUGAAACUUAAAUGAAUUGACGGGGGUCAUAGCUG
rnacentral:rRNA from 1 species